AAGGAAGUAAGAAAAGAAAAGCCAAGAAAAAAACGAGACCCUAUUUGGGCCGAAUCCACGGGGGCCUUCUCCAGGUCAAACUCACUCGAUGGAAAGAGCAGUCCACCCCAUCUGGCGAGCCCCGCCGCCGUCGCCAGCCGCCGGUUCCGCGCGCCGCAUGCCCCAUGGACGCAUUCCACUUUCACACCUUCCUAGCCACGCCGCUGACUGCUGCCAGCUGCCACCCAGCAACGAUAAUUUAUCACUGGGCGGAUUUAUGUGGCAAACUCGCGGCGGUGUAGCCUUGCAAUUGAUGGCCCAUUGGUUUAGUUUCACUGUAUCUUGUUCGUAGUUGCUACUGCGGCAAGUUGAAUCACAGGGAUCGAUUCUAGUUCUGAACCUACUCCACUUGGUUGAGUAAACGGCUACGAAUAUUCAUGGGGUAAUUCACGCAAUUCAGAUUUCUGCUGCUUAUAGCUUCAUUGCAGAAAAUUCCCGUGAUUUAUUAUUUUUGCAUAUGAACAUUUUGGCAUACUUAUUGUGCUUAUGAACCUGGCUGAAAUUCUGAAUCA